rnacentral:tRNA from 2 species
UGGAGAGGUGGCAGAGUGGUCGAAUGCGCUCGACUUGAAAUCGAGUGAUGUGAAAGCAUCCGUGGGUUCGAAUCCCACCCUCUCCGU